UUUCGACAAUGACUUUCAAGAACGGUGCAACUUUCUCGAUUCCCUCAAUGGUAGCAAGAGAUUGUACAAAAGCGAUAGGGAUGAUGAAAAAGAAGGUGAGGAAGAAGAAGGCUACAUUCAUAGCCAAUCUUCUUACAGUCAAAGAAACGUAUGGCAUUGCAAGGUUUGGCCAGAACACAUCUCGUGGCUCUGGGGCCCAUUCGGUUAGCCAUUCGGUCGGGUUUCGUGUCUGUGUGGUCUGAGCGCAAACUGCAGCAGCCCAACGGGUCUUGAAGGAGACAAAAGAUGCUG
rnacentral:lncRNA from 1 species